UGAAAAUAUAAAAAGAUUAAGCAAGUCCAACAAACUUUAUAGAUUUGCCAGGUAGCUGCGUAAUGCCAACCACAUGACAUUUAUCUGUCACACAUGGCUUGUGACUGAGAAUAACACUUCCUAAACAUUGCAGGCGUCUCUUAUUAAUCUGGCAUACGGCUAAAUGAGAUUGCAGUUUUUGUUAGACGCUCUCCGGUAGUAUUGCUCUGGGUUUUGGCUGUUCCACAUCUGCCCCGUCUUUGAGAACUUUUAUCACCGAAGAACCAAAACCAGAGAGAGGCAAAGCAGGCUGCUCCCUAAGGCACAGAAGCACAACUAGCCCCAUGUUGCUCAAGGUCGGCUCUUAGCACCUUGGCUCUACUAGAUCCAGAUUGCUCACUUCCCUACAGAGACCCCCUAGCCUGCAAGGACGAGGACAAAACGCAUUGCAUUUAAAGUGACAGAUUAUGAUUUUAAUACACUUUCCGUGCACCACACUUAUGCCCAGAUCCUGCAACUAAUUCCACAGGGGUGGACCAUCAUGGACUGCAGGGCACAGGAUCUGCUCACACAGUUCUCAUUGCGGGGUAAAUACAUUAUAUUAUCCUACAGCCAUUCCACUGUAGUGGCUAUAGAGAGCAAUGAGAGAGUACAGAUUCUUCUGUCGCAUACACUGGCAUUGCAAGCUUCAUCACAGCAGAGGUCUAUCAGCACCAGCCUUGGAUCCUCCAGUCAGCUGAGCUUCCUCAUGGUGGUGUCCUGCCAGUCCCCGCUCCAGACUCUGGUGCUGCGAGCUUCCGAAGCAGCAGUGCCUUGUCAGUGCCAGCCCUGGACUCGAAUGUGAGCUUCUUCAACAGCAGUGUUGUGUCACGGGCUGUUGGGCCUCUUGUAAUCUGAGCUUCCGUUCUACUCUGCGUAUUAUUUAUGGCUUACAGAGCACCAUGGCUAUGUACGGUGCUUACAACACAGAUAAAGAUGGCUUCCCUUACCCAAA